rnacentral:lncRNA from 1 species
UCCGCUCCCCGUUCCGACCCCCAGGCUCCCCUUGUCCCCCCUUGGAAUCGUGCCGAGGGAUCUGGAGACGUCCUAGAGAGGUCUGGGGGCAUCCAGGGGGUUCUGGACUCAUGCAGAAGAGUCUGGAGGUGUCCAAGGAGGAUCCAGGGAGUCCCCAGGCCUGCCUGCAGCCGGACCCGGUGACACCGGAGCCCUGUGGCGCUGUCACCAUCCUCUGUCCCGAGGACGGGAGGUGAACUCUGUGCCACCAGCAGAGGGGACCACGGGUGACAUCAGUGUGGAACAGCCGUGACGCGGCGGCGUUGUCAUUGGGUGUCACCGUCACGCAGAGGGGACAAAAGGACCCCCCUGGGGGCAUUGCGUCGAAGUUGGG